rnacentral:rRNA from 1 species
UACGUAGGGGGCAAGCGUUGUCCGGAUUUAUUGGGCGUAAAGAGCGUGUAGGCGGCCACACAGGUCAGCUGUGAAAACUCGAGGCUCAACCUCGAGACGUCGGUUGAAACCGUAUGGCUAGAGUCCGGAAGAGGAGAGUGGAAUUCCCGGUGUAGCGGUGAAAUGCGCAGAUAUCGGGAAGAACACCCGUGGCGAAGGCGGCUCUCUGGGACGGUACUGGACGCGUGA